CAGAGAAGGAAUUAGUCCGAAGAACGCACGUACUGUAUGCAGACAGGAAAAAUAAUGGAUGUGAAAUCAUCUCCAUCAAACUGCGGCGAAAUGGAAGGAGAAUGGAAGUUGGGGAAAGGAAUGACCCCGGUGAACGUGAGAAGGAGUUGGCGCUGAGCCUUCUUCGUCCUCCGGAUCUUUGAUCAAGUUGCCCGCAGGGCGAAGAAAACUUUCAAGCACAAUUCCAAGAAGAAGAAGAAGAAAAAUAAAAUAAAAUAAAAUAAAAAUCCCCUUACACAAC